rnacentral:miRNA from 1 species
CUCCCCUCUCUUUCCUGUUCAG